rnacentral:lncRNA from 1 species
AUUCAUAUAUAGUUUACGCCAGUAAAACUAAUUAUUAUUAUUUUUUUAAUUAAAACAAUAAAAAUAUGACUGAGAUGAGAAUAAUUUUGUUUGAAACAUAUAAUUGCCUAUAAACAUAUUUUAAUCUAUAAAAUAGCUCGGUAACUUGAUUAUUUUUUUAAACUUAUAAUUGGAAUGAAAUAGCAUUGCAUUUUUUUCAUAAAAUAACAAAUUUCAAUAGAUGAUAUAUAAAUUCUAUAAGUCUAUACACACCAGGAAUUUGUUCCUAUUCACUAGACUCCCGUGGGAUAACAGAAAACGUGAAAAAGGAAUUGUCAUUUCCAGAUGUCAAACCAAUAUUUACAGCAGUAGCUUAGAAAUGAUAAAUACAGUUCAUUGCCCUAAACACGGCUUUAUCCUACUUUUCUCAUAUUUCAAAUUUAUUAUUAUAUAAAAAAAAAAAAAAUGCAGAUUACGUGUUGAGGCGUAUAGAGUUUCAAUAGGCGUGUAUGUAAAUCAUUUUCACUUACAAUGCUUCUGUUGUUCAACAGUUAAAACAGAGGCGAGGUAUCACAUAUCCUUACAAGAAUUGCUAGUCUGAAUGAUCUCUUGUGGAGUACAUAAAAUGCAAAUUUUGGAUUUCUGUAAGAGUUAGUUCAUUUAAUCAGAGAAUGCAUUUUUUGUUUUAUAUAGAAUACAAAAUGAUCGAUUUCGAGCUAUAAAAUUAGGUUAUCGAUAUGUUAAUUCAUGCGGAAGCAAUGAGCGAUUCGUUACUAAACGGGGCAUCUGUUAAAGUUGAAAGAAUUAAUUAACAUUUUCUUGUUAGAAAAAAAAAAACAUGUAACAAGAUUUUAAUGCGAAAGAAAGGUUGUUAAUCUACAUUAUCUGUUAUUUAUGCUGCAUUUUGCAAAUAUAGUUUUGCGUAACGUAAUAUAGAUUUUUUUUUCCUUUUAAUUAUAUAAUUAAAAUAUGGCUAAAUUUCAAUAAGAUCAUAUUAUAAAAGGUCCCACGCUUUAAUAAUAAUAAUAAAAAAAAAAAAAAAACAGGAAAAGUAUAGAUCCAGAGUUGGCCGGAAAGUUGGAG